UACGUAGGGGGCAAGCGUUGUCCGGAAUCAUUGGGCGUAAAGCGCGUGUAGGCUGCGGAGUAAGUCGGAUGUGAAAUCCCUUGGCUUAACCAAGGAAGUGCAUCCGAUACUGUUUCGCUUGAGUGUCGGAGGGGAUGGCGGAAUUCCCGGUGUAGAGGUGAAAUUCGUAGAUAUCGGGAGGAACACCUGUGGCGAAGGCGGCCAUCUGGACGACAACUGACGCUGAGACGCGAAAGCGUGGGUAGCAAACAGG
rnacentral:rRNA from 1 species